GGGGCAGUGGCGGAAUCGGCAGACGCCGCAGACUUAAAAUCUGCUGUCCAUUGGACGUGUGGGUUCGAGUCCCACCUGCCCCA
rnacentral:tRNA from 1 species